rnacentral:misc_RNA from 1 species
GAAAAUGGGUAAAUGCAGUCAUUGUGACACUCAGUUUGGUGAGGCUUUGGCAGCACAUUUACCUUGUGGAGACAAGAUCUGUUUGAGAUGUUUUGCUGAUAUCCAAGUGACAGAUUCAUGGGAAUGCCCCAAAUGUAGUGCUGCAAUACCUUCAUCAUACAAACCAUGCAACAGCUCAGAAGAAGACAGGGAGGUGUUUCAAGAAUAUCGUGACUACCAGAAGUGCUGCAACACUUUCCUCAUGGCUGUGGUGUCCAAGCUGUGUCUGAGUGGGAAGGAUGCCCCUGAGAGUGCUGUGGUGCAGAAAAUCUUCAGCUACAUCAUUUAUAAGGCGAGACAUGGCCAGACAGAGGGGCGACUGCAUACCAAAAAGAUGUCUGUAUUCAGUGACACAAUUGAUUCCACACCGGUGGUUAGAUCCUUUCUUCUUCAACUUCUCAUACGCAAAAGUGAAGAAACUGUGCAGGACUACCUCCAGGAUUUCUUCUUGCAAGCCAAAGCCCUGUGUGAACAAGGGACAGAUGAGACGUCUCAGGAUACUAUAGACAGAAUUGUUCAGUUCAGUCUUCUUGUGAUACACUGCUUUGAGGACCUGUAUCAUGAAAGAGCAGCCAGUGUUUGUAGUCCAGAUGAAGAAAUGAAGAUGGCAAGAUUCCAUCUUGCUGAAGCCAGACAAUUCAUCAUGGUGAAAGAACUUGACAUGGCGAAGAUGUUUACUGUAGCCAAAUGUCGUUAUGGCCUGUCAGUUGCUGCUAAGUUCUUACAUGCAGUGUUAGUUCAGAAGACUCUUUCUCAGUCAGGACCAUUUGACCAACUGAUCCAGGAAGUGACAGAUCUGUUGGACUUUAUCAGGAUGGACUGGCCAAAGAAAUUUCUUGUGAAGCAGAUUUGUAGAGAAUUUGGCACUGACAGCUAUCAGACAAUCUGUAGAGCAGCUGGAUGGCUUGCCCUUGACACAACAAAUGAGAUUAUUGAGUGUCCAGACAGAUACUUGGUGUGCCCACUCAGCUAUCAGAAAAUCAGAGAAGCUGUGGCCAAAACUCUCCUUGGACAAAACAUAAAGCCACUGAAAUCAUUGGUUAAGAAUAAUGAAAUGUUAUUCCUCCUGGCACUGCACAGAGAAGUUACCAUGAAAAACAUCAACCCAAGCAGUGAAACUCCUAUACUGCAGAAGUCUUCACACAAGAUAACUACAUACAUACAGAAUGCCAAUGGAACCAUGAAAGCAAAAGAACUUGCUCUGAAGCUGCUGAAGAAUGAGUUUGGUAGACCUGGCUCCCCCCUGAACGUCACAGAAGGACAGGGAGUGAGAGACCAGAGUCUGGUGUGCCUGCUGCUACACACACAUCUCGUUCUGACACACUUCAACAACAAGCCAGGCUUUCUGAAACCACUUUCCGAUCUCAUACUGCAUCCAGAAGACAUGGUGGACAAGUUUUUGCCUACAAUGCCACAGGAUGAUACAAUGUUGUACCAUGAGAUACUACUGAGAUCAAUGAAGGAUGCAGACGAAACUGUGAAAACAUUCAACUGCCCAAAUGGACAUACAUAUGUCAUAACAGAGUGUGGGCGACCAUACACAGCAGGACGUUGUAAUGAGUGCGGGGAGAGAAUUGGAGGCAGGGAUCAUGCUGCAUUUGAUGGAAACACACCUCAUGAUGGGCAGGACCAGACCCGUCCUGGUCAUGUUCUUGGAAGAGCAGCAGACAGAACCAAUGCCUAUGCAGGUGAACGCAGACUGGGAGGAGCUGUCUGUGCUGUACUGCGUUUCUUCACUCAUGCUGCUUUACUUUUGGGAGCAGAGAACAGCCCAGAGGCCACAUCAGCUCUAGUCUAUCCCCAACUACAGCAGGAUGUCAGACAGUUUUUCUUGGAACACCUCCAGAAGGACCUUCAGAUCAUCCACAUGGCCACAGGAAAAAGUGUAGAUGAUGUCUUCCUCCUCCUACACUUCAUCUGCCAUCAGAUUUCUCAAUCAGACAAGCCCCGGAGAAAUGAUGGAAGAAUCCUGACUGACAAGUCCAAAAGAGAGAAUUGGGAAGAGGAGUUUUCAAAGACAUUUAUCAGUCCACCACUUCAAGAUCUGGAAGCUUGUCUUGAAACAUGCAAUGACAGAAUUCGAAGAGAUGAUAGAAUAGGUUCCAACAAGCUGAUGUCUGUUCUGUAUGAAGUACCACCAGUAGACAUGACCACUCCCCAGGAAGUUGACUGUCUCCACGAGUUCCCAGCUGUCUGGAGGUACCGGUCACGUAUCACAUUGGAGCAUUUCCUGAGAGAGUUUCAUCUGAAAGUAGAGAACAUCAAGGGCAAGAAUUCCAAGACUGAGGUGCUCAGUCUCUUCAGUCAAGAGCAUCAACACCUGCAGGCAUUGCACCACAUCCCUAACAUUCUCCAUCUGCAACAACUUCUUAUGGAGAAGUACAGGCAUCGCCUUGAUCUCUCUCAGGCCUGUGAAAUGACCAUCACAGACAUUUUCUCAACUGAAGAUGAGGGUUUUAAGAAGGAUGUAAAUGAGCUGAUGCCUGAUUUGGUUGCUGCUUGGGAAUGUGUCAAGGAGAGUCUGCAUGGAUGUUGGACAGUCCAUGAUGGUCUGAUACACCUGCCUGAUGCCUACAAGAACAUGAGAAUAGAUGAGAACUCUCAUCUGGCUGUCCUUCUGCCGUCCACUCAAGGGCCUGGCAUCUGCUCCUACAUGAUGCUGGAGUUCCUCUUCAGGAAGCAUAAUGAAUUCAUGGAGAGUUACUGUGAAAAGAUCAGUUCCAGCUAUGAGCGCCUGCCUGAGGUCAGCAUGAGGAAACUUCACAGCAACCACCUGGUCAGCUACCACCCUGACCGUGACCUGCUGCCCCUUGUUCUGGCCAACUGUAACUACUCCUUUGAGCUGGGGAAAGGUACCACCAUUGAGUAUGACUUUGAAGGAUUUGAGUAUCAGCUCAAAGAAGUCAUACUACAGGCCAAGUCCAGAGUGGAGCAGAAGUCGCAUGUCAUACCAAUUGACCAAAUGGUAUACAGGGCAGAUUCAGGAAAUGUAGCAGUGUUAAAGACACUUCAAGACAGAAUUCCACAGGAGCCAUUGUCUCGAGCAGUCAAGCUUCAAAUUGUGUCUGAACUAAAAUCCAGCCUGCCAGAUGUCUGUGACUCCAUCAACAACUUGGACAUCACCACCAGUUUCCUCAAGACUUUGGGAGGAGAACCAGACAAGCCACUGCAGAUUUUUAUGACAGCUGUGCUCAAAAUGAAACAGACAAUAACUAGCCAGAAGGUGCGGCAGGUUUGUGAGUUCAGGCAUGUUCAAUCACUGUGGCUUUUACUGACAUUCCAGAAGUCAGUGAUACUUGCUGAACACCACCAGGAUCCAUUCAGCAAUCUUGACAGUGAACACAAAGUAGAUCUUUGUGAGGAAGAAAGAACAAAUCUACUUGAGUUCUGUCAGAGGAAAAGUCCUGACAAGCUGGAGUUUCUCCUUCAAGAGAUGUUCGACUGUCUCUUGCUGUGGGUGGCUGUACCUGCUGACAACUCUGAUGGACCAAGUCCAAAGUCCAUGAGCCUGAAAGACUUGCUGCAAGGUCACCUGGACAGGUCACUGAACAGUGAUGAAGGUCUAGGAAUCAGAUCAAGCAGCAUUGAUCAGACCCUGACAGAGGAAGACAUUGACUCACUCCCACAAGGCAUCAAGGGCAUGCACAUUCCUAACACAUGGCUGUUGCUGCUGCAGGAGAUCAGCCGACGCAGGAAGGAGAUGUAGCUGAUGCUGAUCCCAGUGUCAAUGGAUAAUGUAUUGUACUUCAAGUCUAAAUCUUUACAACCUCUCCUGUGCAGCAUGUAUUUCAUAGCUGAUGUCCAUGGCGGGAAUAUGUGAUGUUUUUACAUACUUUUUAAAAGAAUUAUUUGUUGAUAUUUGUAUGAUAGUUGAUGAUUAGUUUUUGAAAUCUUCUUUAUCAAUCGUGAACCUUUAAACAGACAAACAGUUAUUGGUUUAAUUUACAUGAUAUAGGUUUUCAGCAUAUACUCUUUGUUGUUAUGAUUGAUGUUUUAUUGGACUACCUGUUGACCACUGAAAUCUUAACAGCUCUAAAUGGGAUACGUAACCCAGAGAGGCAGAACUUUUGAGUAACAACUUGUUAACCUAAUUUAGAGAAUAUAGGCAUUUGUUGUGUUGUGGCUUUGUAAAUAGUGGUUUGAUAAAUGCACAGGGACUGUAAAUCUAUGCAUGCAUUGACUUGUACUCAGCAUUAUCACUGAAGGGGUACCUGGUAGGUUCAGUGUCAACACAUUGACUUGUACUCAGCAUUAUCACUGAAGGGGUACCUGGUAGGUUCAGUGUCAACACAUUGACCAACAAGCAUCAAUAGGUCUGUUUAUGUUUACAAUGUCAGUAAGAGUUGAAGAACAUGGUUAUUGCUAUGUAAUACUGAUGGAGACUUUAAUGAAACUAGAAACAUGGACAACAACAAUUAAAAUCACAAAAAGAGCAAGAUUAAAGGUAAUGGAAACUACUACCCUAAACACAUGUCUGAAUGCAACCAAGUCCAUGCACCACAAGUGACAGUCAAUGUGGGCAUCAAUGGUUAAUUCCAGAUGUAACUGAACUGCACUCUUCGAACUUGAAAAUGUGACAUUUUAUCUGGUUCCCCAAUUGUGAUACUGAGUACAUAUAAUAGUAUUUUCAGACUUAUUUCUAUGAUUGGCUGUGUACAUGGAUUUGAAACUCAUUUACAUGAUAUUUCAUGCAGAGAUUAUUUUUGAUUUGACAUAGUGUACUUUCAUUGAAUUUGAAACAUGUUUUAUGAUAUUUAGAAAAUUAUAUAUUUUGCUAGUUUUUACUGUUAUGCUUUUGUAUAAUUUUCUCUUAAGGUUAUAUAUAUAUUACAUAUUAACUAUUUUGCUAUUUUAUUUCCUGUUAUGCUUCACUCAUGUUUCUUUCAAGGUUGCAGAAAGGUGCAUCACUUUUUUCUGCUUUGAUUAGUGUUUGGUCAACAGUGUUUCAUUUGCUUUCAAUAAUGUUUUUGUUUGGUGUUACAGUUUAUCAGUAACAACAUAGGAGUUUGUAAUUGUUGCUUAUGUUUUUAAUACUGUAACCUCCCAUUGUAACUAGCCCUCAGCUUACUGAAAUUAACUUAUUAAUCAAUGCACCAAAAAGACCAUCAGCAAUAUUCUCAUUUACAGCUGUUCUUCAAGAUACGUUUUAGGAGUGGUGCCUGAUUAUUUAUUCUUGAUACAAUUUUGUUGUUGAGUGAUGUGUUGAAACAUCAGUGUGUGUUAUUAGUAUUGGUCCCAUGUUUGUUGAGGUCAUAUCCCCUGUACGUGACUUCAGCUCAGUACAAUGGAAAGCUGUUGCAUUUCAAAUUUGAGGUAAAAGAAAAUUUGAAGAAAGUACAAAAAGUUUGUUUUGUUAUUCAUUUUCAGCAUUUGUUUAAGCCCAUAAGCCUGGGGAAGCUAUAAGAAAAUUUAUUAUUAAUACUGGUAAUUUGCCGUUGUGUUGGGUCACACUGAGAGUAUCGGGUGAACUUGGAGUCUCUUAAUGAUGGGUUUAGUUUUAAAAACACUUCUGAUAUUUGUAUUAAGCAAUAUUUCAUCAUUUAUAUUUCACUACUGUGUUAUGAAAGUUCCAAUUUUAGGUCGUACUGAUUGUUGGCAUUUUUUCCAAACUGUAUGUAUAGUGAUGUGUGCCGAUCAUAUGGAUGUACCUGUAUGUUAUCAUCUGUAGGUAGGUGGUAUGUACAGGCUUACCUUAGUGUAGAACCAUUAUGAUCUUCAUAUCAGUAUGGUGAUGUAUAAUGUUUAACUGUUUCCAUUCCAUCUACACAGUUAGGGACUAUAUAGUUUGUUUACCUGUACAUUUGUUAUAGAGAGGUCUUAAUACAAUGUAGAAACAACAUGUAGAAAUAACAUGUUUGUAAAAAUUAUGAAGGAUUCCUUAUGAAAGAAAUAUCCAAAUCAUCUUCAUCCUUGGGCAAUGUUACAAACACUCCUGGUUAUCAUCAGUGUCCACAUUGUACUUAUGUCUAAAAGGCAUCCAUUGUCAUGUAGUCACACACUGUAAAUAGUAGUCAGUAUCUGUGCUACAGUUAUAUACACCAGUUAUCACAAUGUCACACACUGUAAAUAGUAGUCGGUAUCUGUGCUACAGUUAUAUACAUCAGUUAUCACAAUGUCACACACUGUAAAUAGUAGUCAGUAUCUGUGCUACAUUAUAUACACCAGUUAUCACAAUGUAACACACUGUAAAUAGUAGUCAGUAUCUGUGCU